ACCCAACUGACGAGUGCCAAAUAGGACGAAAUGCGCGUCCUGUAU
rnacentral:hammerhead_ribozyme from 1 species